UGGGGAAUCUUGCACAAUGGGCGAAAGCCUGAUGCAGCAACGCCGCGUGGGGGAUGAAGGCUCUCGGGUUGUAAACCCCUUUCAGUGGGAACGAAACUGACGGUACCCACAGAAGAAGCCCCGGCCAACUACGUGCCAGCAGCCGCGGUGAUACGUAGGGGGCAAGCGUUGUCCGGAUUCAUUGGGCGUAAAGAGCUCGUAGGCGGCUUGAUUAGUCGGGUGUGAAACCUCCAGGCUCAACCUGGAAUCGCCACUCGAUACUGUCAUGGCUAGAGUCCGGUAGGGGACCACGGAAUUCCUGGUGUAGCGGUGAAAUGCGCAGAUAUCAGGAGGAACACCGGUGGCGAAGGCGGUGGUCUGGGCCGGCACUGACGCUGAGGAGCGAAAGCGUGGGGAGCGAACAGG
rnacentral:rRNA from 1 species